AAUUCGAUGGCUCGUUUGUUUAUCUCCGUCCCAUGCCCUCACGGGUGGUGGGCCGGACGCCAGGCAAGCCUCGUGUUCCCGGCACGCCUAGCCUAGCCCAGUUGCAUGGCUGCCUCGGCGCACGAGGCUCUUCGCCCGUGCUCUCGGAUUCGGAAUGUUAUGUGCUGCGGGUGGGUGGCUCAUCGGAGGCACUCCAUCCGGUCGAGCGAGGCAUUUUUGUCCAACGAGACGAACGACUGCUGCACCCGUCUUUGGGCCCGCGGCCUCACGGCUCGGCAGGGCUCAUG
rnacentral:misc_RNA from 3 species